rnacentral:rRNA from 1 species
AUGAAGAUAAUCGCGUGGAAUUGUCGGGGUUUGGGGAAUUGCCCGGCGGUUCGUGGUCUUCUAGAGCUCCAUAAGAAGGAGGACCCUGAUGUCAUAUUUUUGAAAACUAGACUAAAUACAAAUAAGGUGGAGAAGCUUUGGUACACUCUCAACAUGCCUCACUUAGUCUUUAAGUCAUGUGAUGGCAAGAGUGGGAGGGGGGGUUAG